rnacentral:rRNA from 1 species
AUUGAACGCUGGCGGCAGGCCUAACACAUGCAAGUCGAGCGGAUGAAGGGAGCUUGCUCCUGGAUUCAGCGGCGGACGGGUGAGUAAUGCCUAGGAAUCUGCCUUGUCGUGGGGGAUAACGUCCGGAAACGGGCGCUAAUACCGCAUACGUCCUGAGGGAGAAAGUGGGGGAUCUUCGGACCUCACGCUAUUAGAUGAGCCUAGGUCGGAUUAGCUAGUUGGGGGGUAGGCCUACCAAGGCGACGAUCCGUAACUGGUCUGAGAGGAUGAUCAGUCACACUGGAACUGAGACACGGUCCAGACUCCUACGGGAGGCAGCAGUGGGGAAUAUUGGACAAUGGGCGAAAGCCUGAUCCAGCCAUGCCGCGUGUGUGAAGAAGGUCUUCGGAUUGUAAAGCACUUUAAGUUGGGAAGAAGAGCAGUAAGUUAAUACCUUGCUGUUUUGACGUUACCAACAGAAUAAGCACCGGCUAACUUCGUG